rnacentral:rRNA from 1 species
UGUGUAGGCGGAUCGUUAAGUGUCUUGUGAAAUCCCACGGCUCACCCGUGGAACUGCUGGGCAUACUGGCGAUCUUGGGCCAACUAGGGGCAACUGGAACAAGCGGUGGAGCGGUGAAAUGCGUAGAUAUCGCUUGGAACGCCAAAGGUGAAAACAGGUUGCUGGGGUUGUGCCGACGCUGAGACACGAAAGCCAGGGGAGCAAACGGGAUUAGAUACCCCGGUAGUCCUGGCCCUAAACGAUGUCCACUAGAUUGCGGCGGGUUUGACCCCGUCGCGGUCGAAGCAAAAGUGUUAAGUGGACCGCCUGGGAAGUACGGUCGCAAGGCUAAA